UUUCUUAAGUUAUGUAAUGAAUCAUUCUUUAAUGAUUUAAACUCCAAUUUGUUGGGUAAAAGCAUCCUUUCAUCUCAAAUUACCCUCUAUUAAAGAGCUAUGAAAUAAAGCUGUGAACAUCCCCAUUUGAAAGUAACAGAGGUGGAGGGCUGACUACAACAGACCUGCAGUAUCUACAUGGCUGGCAGGUGAGCCUGUUAGACAGAAGGGAGUUUAUUACAACUGCUGGUGGUGUGGUAGGCUGCUUCUACAUGGCACCCCAUGAUCCCUGCCUCCUGGAAUUGACACCCUUGUGCAAUCCCCUCCUUUAGUGACUUGCUUCUAAAGAAGAGAAUACAGCAGAAGUGAUGUCGCUUCCAAGAGCAGUCUAGGAAACACUGUGGUGUUCCCUCUCAAUCUCUCGCCGGCGAUCUCUGCUGAAUCCAGCGGCUGCAGUGAGCUGCCCUGGAGAUGAGCAAGGAGUUAAGGACUUGAGGACAGCCUGAAGACUGUAGUCAGUGCACCAUUCCAGAGGGAACCGUGUGUAUGAGCUUGGGAGUAGAUCCUGUUCCAGUUCAGCCUUGAGGUGACUGUGACCUGUGGUCACACCUGAGUCACCUGAGUCAGAGGAACCAGCCGAGCUGCCCUGGAUCCCUCACCCAAACCAUAUGAGAGUUGGACUGUGAAGAAAGCUGAGCACUGAAGAAUUGAUGCUUUUGAACUGUGGUGUUGGAGAAGACUCCCGAGAGUCCCUUGGACUGCAAGGAGAUCCAACCAGUCCAUUCUGAAGGAGAUCAGCCCUGGGAUUUCUUUGGAAGGACUGAUGCUAAAGCUGAAACUCCAGUACUUUGGGCACCUCAUGUGAAGAGUUGACUCAUUGGAAAAGAUCCUGAUGCUGGGAGGGAUUGGGGGCAGGAGGAGUAGGGGAGGACAGAGGAUGAGAUGGCUGGAUGGUAUCACUGACUCAGUGGACGUGAGUCUCAGUGAACUCCGGGAGUUGGUGAUGGACAGGGAGGCCUGGUGUGCUGUGAUUCAAGGGGUUGCAAAGAGUCAGAUAUGACUGAGCGACUGAACUGAACUGAUGUUCCAAAACAAAUAAUAGAAGAAUGGAAUGCCUUUGUAUUUUUGCAAAUCUUUUUAAAGCCUGGCUUAUGGAAUACAAUUAAAUUCUUGUAUCUGCUUCAGCA
ensembl:lncRNA